UACGUAGGGGGCGAGCGUUGUCCGGAAUCAUUGGGCGUAAAGCGCGUGUAGGCGGCCCGGUAAGUCCGCUGUGAAAGUCCAGGGCUCAACCGUGGGAUGCCGGUGGAUACUGUCGGGCUCGAGUCCGGAAGAGGCGAGUGGAAUUCCUGGUGUAGCGGUGAAAUGCGCAGAUAUCAGGAGGAACACCGGUGGCGAAGGCGGAUCUCUGGGCCUUACCUGACGCUCUGGCACGAAAGCUAGGGGAGCGAACAGG
rnacentral:rRNA from 1 species